CUUCCUCAGCCUUACUCCUGGGCCUUCUCGCUGUGGAGUGCCCUGGCAUUGCCUGAGGAUAGAUAAGAAAGCCCGUGUCCCUCCCCAGGAAGAACCCACUUUUCUUCUGGGGCCUACACAUUGAGCUAACAGU
ensembl:snoRNA SNORA49 small nucleolar RNA, H/ACA box 49